rnacentral:lncRNA from 10 species
UUUUGCUUUGUGUAGGCAGAGUUCCUGUCUCAAGAAGAGGUUUGGCAGUAACAAAGUUUAGCUAUUCUGCUGGCCAUCACUCCGGAAAGUGUUCCCACGAAGUGGCUGACUUAAAAAGUAAGCUUGACUAAGUAUCAUAUCACAUGAGCAGCACUGGAAAGAGGCAGAGCUGAGGGAAAGAGGGAAGCUUCUGUGUAGACGUCGACUUUACUCUUUGACCACCAUACCUUGCCUUUCAGUUUGUGGGUAGCUUAGGAAACCGAAGUCAGACAACAUAAUUGGCUUUUGGGGGAUAAGAAUUGUGUCUUUCGGAUGUUUCUCAUAGUGCUUUACAGGAUAUACCCUCAAAAGAAGCUGAAAAAAUUUUAAAAAGAAAGUCUGACACAUUUCAAUGCUGUGUUCAAGCCUUCUGUUUUCCAAAAGAGGCCAUCAGGUAUCACAGCAAAUCACUUUUGUGGAUUAUAAAAGGAAGGUGACUUGCAGCUCUAAAAUCUUAAAUUCUCUGCUCCAUGUUCUGUGUUUUAUAAAUAAGCAUAAUUGGUAUUCAGAAAAGAAAUCUGCAAUCUCAGCCUACUUCAGGAUGUUGAUUCACUGGAGCACUGCAAAUUAGACUGACAAAAGACAGAUUAUCAGGAGAAAAGGCAUACAAACAAGCUAAUAGGCCGAAAAGCUCAUAUACCAUUUUAAACAAAGAAAGAUAAACUGUGGAGACUUGACAGAAAGAAAAAAGGGUUUGGGGCUUUCAAGAGCAGUCCACUACGGGAAGAUCUCACUCCGGACAAGUAAACACCAAUACCACCAACCUGAGUAGGCCUUCCAUGAAAUACUGGGGACACUAAGAAGCCACACCCCCUGAAACAUUCUAUGGUCAUUCAGCAUUUGAAGCAAAUUGGAAAGGUGAAAAACCUGAUAAGUGGGUGCCUCAUGAGCUCACCGAAAAUUUUUUUAAAAAUUGUCGUUUUGAAGUGUCAUCUUCUCUUAUUCUAUGCAACAACAAUGAACCAUUUCUUGAUUGGAUUGUGAUGUGCGAGGAAAAGUGGAUUUUAUAUGACAACUGGCGAUGACCAGCUCAGUGGUUGGACCGAGAAGAAGCUCCAAAACACUUCCCAAAGCCAAACUUGCACCAAAAAAGGUCCUGGUCACUGCUUGGUGGGCUGCUGCUGGUCUGAUCCACUGCAGCUUUCUGAAUCCCUGGGAAACCAUUACACCUGAGAAGUAUGCUCAGCAAACCAAUGAGAUGCACCAAAAACUGCAAUGCCUGCAGCUGGCUUUGGUCAACAGGAAGGGCCCAAUUCUUCUCCACCACAAUGUCCGACUGCACAUCACAACCCACGCUUCAGAAGUUGAACAAAUUGGGCUACGAAGUUUUGCCUCAUCUCCCAUGUUCACCUGACCUCUCGCUGAGAAGUAGCUUUGGAGCUUCUUCUCGGUCCAAACACUGAGCUGGUCAUCGCCGGUUGUCAUAUAAAAUCCACUUUUCCUCGCACAUCACAAUCCAAUCAAGAAAUGGUUCAUUGUUGUUGCAUAGAAUAAGAGAAGAUGACACUUCAAAACUACCACUUCUUCAAGCAUCUCAACAACUUUUUGCAGGGAAAAUGCUUCCACAACCAGCAGGAUGCAGAAAAUGCUCUCCAAAAGUUUGUCAAAUCCUGAAGCAUGGAUUUUUAGGCUACAGGAAUAAACGUAUUUCUCACUGGCAGAAAUUUAUUGAUUGUAAUGAUUCCUUUUUUGGUUAAAGACAUGUUUGAGCCUAGUUAUAACGACUUACAAUUCACGGUCCAAAACUGCAAGUACUUUUUGCACCAGCGAGAUGUGCAUAUGAGAAGCUUAUUUCACCAAGCCUCUUAUCUAGUCAUCUGUAUAAUUAUUUCAAGCACAGGAGGGACCCUACUUCUUACUGGGGAGGAUUAAGGAAGGCUUCCUGGAGGAUUGUCUCAGAGCUUGCUGCAGGUGCAUAUUGAAAAGCAAUUCAUUACAAUUUUCUAUAAGAGACUGUGGCUGAACAAUGAUACACAGGUAUGGUCAGAACUUUGUGUAACAAUUUCUGCAUCACAUGUGUAGAAAUCUUAAGGAAAGGAAUACUCUCUCUCAGCAAGUUGAGCCCUGUAGCCAGAUACUUUGAGUAGUGUUUCCUGAAUCUUUAAAACCCACUGACUUCAAAUGGCAUGACUUCCAGAGUAUAGAGGUGGGUAUAAAGAGCAACUCAGCCCCCCACACCCUUAAAAUCACAUCUUGUCAAAAACUUGAAGACUUUCAGGACUUGUGGAUUCAUUCCUCUUUCCAUCGCCACUGCAAAAGCUCAUAGGAAAUUUUUCUCUGUACAUAAAGAAGGAAAUCAUGCUCUCACAGCUGCAUCCUGAGUAAUCACUUUUGAGAUAAAACUAUUUUUCUAGCCAUAAAAGCUAUAUUUGAAUUUCACCAGCUGCUUUCUUAAUGAUUACUAGACUAUUUUGAUAAUGGCACCAGCUUCAGGAAAGGUGGUGAUGCUACCUAACCUUGCUUUGAUAAGAAAGAUUUUUGCAUCAGGGGAGAUUACACUUAUUUAAUGUAAUCCAGAUGUCUCCUUUCUCAGUGUUCCCCAAUUCUGCCAGCCUCAUUGAUCAUUCCAACUAUUAGUAUUCAAAUAAAAAUGGCUUCCAUAUGUAAAAGGAAACUCAGGAU